GCGCAUUCCACCAUUUUGAUUUUACCGUUCCUAACUUGGAAAUCUUAUUAAUUUAUGGUCUUUUAAAGGAGACAUUCAAGUGAAAGUCCGUUCUGUUGCGGAAUAAUGCUUUAUAUCUAUCUGCAGUCCACAGUAACACAGAAGAGACAUAAGUAAAGAAGAACAAUAUGGAUGUUGAAGUGGAUCUGCAGGGUUGUGAUGUUUGUGGAGGCAGUCAUGACACAGAACAGUGCCCAGAGCUUGGACUGGAAACAACAGAGGAGGACCCCCUCUCUAUG